rnacentral:ncRNA from 2 species
CUCUUAUCCAGAGAGGCGGAGGGACCGGCCCGAUGAAGCCUCGGCAACCAGGUUAUUGAAACCCAGGUGCCAAUUCCGGCAGAGUAAGAUCUGGAAGAUGAGAG